CCUACGGGGGGCAGCAGUGGGGAAUAUUGGACAAUGGGGCAACCCUGAUCCAGCCAUGCCGCGUGUGUGAAGAAGGCCCUCGGGUUGUAAAGCACUUUCAGUGAGGAAGAACGCCUGGUGGUUAAUACCCAUCAGGAAAGACAUCACUCACAGAAGAAGCACCGGCUAACUCCGUGCCAGCAGCCGAGGUAAUACGGAGGGUGCGAGCGUUAAUCGGAAUUACUGGGCGUAAAGCGCGCGUAGGUGGCUUGAUAAGCCGGUUGUGAAAGCCCCGGGCUCAACCUGGGAACGGCAUCCGGAACUGUCAAGCUAGAGUGCAGGAGAGGAAGGUAGAAUUCCCGGUGUAGCGGUGAAAUGCGUAGAGAUCGGGAGGAAUACCAGUGGCGAAGGCGGCCUUCUGGACUGACACUGACACUGAGGUGCGAAAGCGUGGGUAGCAAACAGGAUUAGAUACCCCAGUAGUC
rnacentral:rRNA from 1 species